GCCUGGAAUCCUGAUCCUUCCACACAUUUCCUCUCAAUACUUGUGUGUUUGACGAGAAGCAAGCAACACUCGCAACCCGUGAGAUGCAAAAUUACCAGCACAUGAGUAAUUUAGCACCUUUCCGUGCAUAUGAACGAGUAUUGGAGUACCUAAUUAAGUGAUUAGAGAUUGACUGCUACUUGUUGUUUAGCACCUUUCCGAACAGUAUUAACUGAAUGCCCCAGGCCGCUGCAGUAAUCUACAAAAUUUUGCCGAACAAUGUAAUUGGGAGAUUUUGGCAAUUGUGCCUGACAAGUCCAAUUUUUUGUUCAAACUUUGGUAAUUUUCUGGUAAAUUUUAGGACAUGAUGGCUAUUUUGCUAAACAGAUCCAAAAUUUGGUUCAAAACUUUGUAUUUUAAAAAAAUCAAAGGUAUCUCAAAUAAUUAUUAAAUGUGCUCAAUAGCAAUCCAGGAAAUUUUGAGCUUAUUUGCACUACUGCAUUAGGAGAUGUUGACUAUUUUUUCUUUGAUUUUUUUGUUUGCUUGGUGUUAAACUUUGAGCCCACCCUUCAUUUUCUUUCUGGAAUCGCCACUGGGCCGGGGAGCUGCUGACGGGUGCCGCAUCUGAAUCCAUGCCGGACCUCUUAUUGCAAGCUCGGAACACACUGCUCGAAGGUGACCGGAUGCCUGGAGCAACUGUCGAUGCAGCAGAGGGUCAGCUGUUCUGCACUGGAUCGGGGAGAUCAGUUUCUGUCAGUUAGAGGGCUAUAAAGAGGGCACGGGGAAUUGGUCAGGAAGGAGGUGGAGAAGACUGAUAUCAAGAGAAAACAAACGUUUGACAACGUACCUGAUGCAGAGGGCGUGUCGAGAUAAAUGGACACUCCAUUUAGAGG